rnacentral:tRNA from 1 species
GCGAUGGUAGUUCAGUUGGCAGAACGCCUGCUUCCCAAGCAGGAGGUCACCGGUUCGAAUCCGGCCCAUCGCUCCA